ACGCUGGCGGCGUGCCUAAUACAUGCAAGUAGAACGCUGAAGGAGGAGCUUGCUUCUCUGGAUGAGUUGCGAACGGGUGAGUAACGCGUAGGUAACCUGCCUGGUAGCGGGGGAUAGCUAUUGGAAACGAUAGCUAAUACCGCAUAAGAGUAGAUGUUGCAUGACAUUUGCUUAAAAGGUGCAAUUGCAUCACUACCAGAUGGACCUGCGUUGUAUUAGCUAGUUGGUGGGGUAACGGCUCACCAAGGCGACGAUACAUAGCCGACCUGAGAGGGUGAUCGGCCACACUGGGGCUGAGACACGGCCCAGACUCCUACGGGAGGCAGCAGUAGGGAAUCUUCGGCAAUGGACGGAAGUCUGACCGAGCAACGCCGCGUGAGUGAAGAAGGUUUUCGGAUCGUAAAGCUCUGUUGUAAGAGAAGAACGAGUGUGAGAGUGGAAAGUUCACACUGUGACGGUAUCUUACCAGAAAGGGACGGCUAACUACGUGCCAGCAGCCGCGGUAAUACGUAGGUCCCGAGCGUUGUCCGGAUUUAUUGGGCGUAAAGCGAGCGCAGGCGGUUAGAUAAGUCUGAAGUUAAAGGCUGUGGCUUAACCAUAGUACGCUUUGGAAACUGUUUAACUUGAGUGCAAGAGGGGAGAGUGGAAUUCCAUGUGUAGCGGUGAAAUGCGUAGAUAUAUGGAGGAACACCGGUGGCGGAAGCGGCUCUCUGGCUUGUAACUGACGCUGAGGCUCGAAAGCGUGGGGAGCAAACAGGAUUAGAUACCCUGGUAGUCCACGCCGUAAACGAUGAGUGCUAGGUGUUAGACCCUUUCCGGGGUUUAGUGCCGUAGCUAACGCAUUAAGCACUCCCGCCUGGGGAGUACGACCGCAAGGUUGAAACUCAAAGGAAUGACGGGGGCCCGCACAA
rnacentral:rRNA from 1 species